GAGGGUAUAGCUCAAUGGUAGACUGUGUGCUUGGAAUGCAUGAGGUCCUGGUUUCAGUCCCUAGUACCUCCA
rnacentral:tRNA from 1 species